rnacentral:lncRNA from 1 species
AGGCGCGCACACAAUAGCAGUCCCAAGAUCUCGCCACCAGGCUGCUUGACGCCUCUCUGCGGCUGCUGUUCACAACUGGGUGCUGUUCUGGCUAGGGCUGCAUGCGAGUCAACCCCCCCGCAAGAAUCUUAAAAAAAAAAAAGACCAAGGUUAGGGGGAGCCAAGCCUCCCACUUUCUCCCCCCCCCUCCGCUUCCUCCCUUCUCUGGAGUCUCCAGCGCAGCCUGCUAGGGCGUCUGUUCCGGGUAGAGGCGGCAGCUGCUGCUGUUGCGUCCUCGGCUGCUUUGCAUUUGAAAAUCCAGCCCCGCCGCCGCCGCCGUCCUGCUCCAGCAGCAGCCCGCCCCGUCCCGCUCCCAACCAACUCUUUCUUCCCUGCUGGCUGCUGCAGCUGCAACGGCCGGAGGAGGAGGAGGAGGAAGGUGUUUGUGUCCUUGGGGCUGCAGCGGCCAGGCAUCCAGGGGCGCUCUCGCUCUUCUGCAAAAACUCUUGAACUGCUGCAGAAGAAAGAGAAGAAGCAAGCAGUUGCCGCCGCCGCCGCGGUGCAUCUUGCAAGCAGGUGAGAUCUUCACUUGAAAAUGCAAAGAGGACGUUGCUGCGUUGGAGACAACUACGGAUAUGGGCUGUUGGUGUUAAGGCACCCAGGGAUGAAACCUUAGAGAAACCCAGGUCAUCUUCUGCUUUUGGUCNGUGCACCCCGCCCCCUGUAAAAAAACAUUGUAAUCAGUAUUUUAAGGCCAGGGAUAAUAGAUAUCUAUAGUGCAAUCCUAACUACAGUAUUCAGAAGUAAAUUCAUUUGCGUUCAGAGGCGUUUAUUCUUAGGAGAGCAAAGUGAGAACUGCACCUUUUAAUGCUGGCAAUGCUAAAAAUAUUUUUCUCUGUUGGGGGUACCUCCCAUUGAAAUCAGUAGGCUUCUUUCUGAGUAGAGUAGUCCUUAAUGAACCAUAGGGCAACAAUUUAAGGACCACAGGAAGUGAUCUUUCCUAGUACAGUUUUACAUGCAAUACUAAUGUCACUUUGCUAGGAGUAAGUAUCAUUUAGUCCUGUAGAAUUUACUUCAGAGUAGAUACAGGAUUGCAAUGCCAGCUGUAAACUGUGUGAUUCAGCUCUGGAUUGCUCAUUAAUAAAAUAAAUGUUUUACUUUUGCA